GGGCUUGUAGUGCAGGGGUAGGGUGUUUGACUAUAGAUCAAGGGGUCCCUGGUUCAAAUCCAGGUGCCCCCU
rnacentral:tRNA from 1 species